AGUGUGAUUGCAGAACCAGCCUCUGUCACGCAGCAUGGUGAGGUGGGGGAGCAAAGCUCAUGCGUCUGUCACUCUGCAUUGCCAUUCCAGAGACCUAUUACACCCUGUUCUCUUAUGUUAGUGCAGGUACAGCCCUAGAUGAGAAACCCAACAUUCAGAAUGACAUAGUAAGGGAGUGUCACUGUGUAAGACUGCCUACAGAAUGAAGAGAAUGACCUUGGGGGGGGGGGGCUGGCUUCUGAAAAUGGGAUCUCUGAUAAGAAUUCAUCCACCAGAGAGGCAUUCAUUCCUAAGAGAGCGCUCCAUACUGGAUUCAUUCCCCCAAAAGCCGAACUCUGUGUUCUGACUGAACUCUACUGAACCCACCGGCACAGAGGAACACAGCACAUUGCCUCUCCCCCUUUCACACAGUUUAUCAUAUGCAUAUGCAUAUGUAUAUGUAUAUGAUGCAUAUAUCAUGAUGGGGGCUCACUGGUGUCCCAUUACUACAGAAUAUUACAGUCAAAUGUGGAAUAGAGACUGAACUGUUAAAUACAAUGGGAAACAGGCUCUCUUGCAGAAAAAAAAACAGGCUACAUAAUUAAAUCCAGAAGGUUCCUCACUUUUCUUUUUAAACUCUCCAACAGUACCGUACUUGUGGGCAAAGGCAAAAGAACUGGAAAUGCUUUAUUAUCUAAAAACAUAGUAUUUUAAAUUUCCCCCUCCAAUGAUUUAUGUCCGUCACAGUCUUCAGGAAAUGUGCCUGGCAUCCACACAUUUCAUGACAGGUAACAUAAGAACUUGCCAUUCUUCCUGAUAUUUAUAUAACAGGACCUUGCACAGAGCUCAGGAGGCUGCCCAGACAUAAACUAUGCACACACAGCCAGCGUAAUUGAAAGCAGCCGGCCAAGCGCAGCUGCUUGGGAAGCCCAGCUCCACAAGGGGCUUGCUGAAAUUUCAGUGAAGGUUAAUGGACAAAGGCAGGCUUCAGCACAGUAGGAAGGCACCAAGGUAGUUAGAGGAUGAAUCAAACGCGAAGAAAUGCCUAUGGCACAGAGAGGGAGCGAAGGGAUGGACGUGCUGCUAAUUCCCGUGCUUGUGGUAGCUAGAGGGGAAAAAACUGCAAUGAAGCCCCUGUUACCAUCUCCACAAAACAUGCACGUGCUUCACCCCAAACUGGAUGGAAAGCAGACCCUUCUGGAAAAAGAACAGAGUCUCUACACUGUCUCACAGCCUACCCAUCAUGUGGUUUAACCUGGGUACAUGACGGACAUGGACAGAUCAUGGCCUGAUGGAAACAUUGAGGGUCAUCAAGCUUUCAGAGACAAUGCGAAGACACUGUCAUUUUGUCAGGAAGAUCAGUCACGGAUGACAUGUGUCCUACGCCAUCUGGAAACUUCUUUGUGAAGGUAGAGUGCCGCAGAGAGCCUUAGCUCUCGGCUCUGGGAUCCUGUAUGGCAGUGACAGAAUGGAGCAGCCAGUCUGGUCAGAGGAAGUUUCUUCCAAACAGUUUACAAGGAAGAUAAUGACCUAUGAGAACUUCACUACCUCCCACGCUUUUGCUUGUUUACUUAAU